GAUGAACGCUGGCGGCGUGCCUAAUACAUGCAAGUCGAGCGAACAGACGAGGAGCUUGCUCCUCUGACGUUAGCGGCGGACGGGUGAGUAACACGUGGAUAACCUACCUAUAAGACUGGGAUAACUUCGGGAAACCGGAGCUAAUACCGGAUAAUAUAUUGAACCGCAUGGUUCAAUAGUGAAAGACGGUUUUGCUGUCACUUAUAGAUGGAUCCGCGCCGCAUUAGCUAGUUGGUAAGGUAACGGCUUACCAAGGCAACGAUGCGUAGCCGACCUGAGAGGGUGAUCGGCCACACGGGAACUGAGACACGGUCCAGACUCCUGCGGGAGGCAGCAGUAGGGAAUCUUCCGCAAUGGGCGAAAGCCUGACGGAGCAACGCCGCGUGAGUGAUGAAGGUCUUCGGACCGUAAAACUCUGUUAUUAGGGAAGAACAAAUGUGUAAGUACCUAUGCACGUCUUGACGGUACCUAAUCAGAAAGCCACGGCUAACUACGUG
rnacentral:rRNA from 1 species